GAGUUUGAUCCUGGCUCAGAUUGAACGCUGGCGGUAGGCUUAACACAUGCAAGUCGUGCGAGAAAGUAUCUUCGGAUAUGAGUAGAGCGGCGGACGGGUGAGUAACGCGUAGGAAUCUACCUAGUAGAAGGGGAUAGCCCGGGGAAACCCGGAUUAAUACCGUAUACCUCCUUCGGGAGAAAGAAGGCCUCUCUUUGAAGCUUUCGCUAUUAGAUGAGCCUGCGUAAGAUUAGCUUGUUGGUGAGGUAAAGGCUCACCAAGGCUACGAUCUUUAGCUGGUCUGAGAGGACGAUCAGCCACAUUGGGACUGAGACACGGCCCAGACUCCUACGGGAGGCAGCAGUGGGGAAUAUUGGACAAUGGGCGCAAGCCUGAUCCAGCCAUACCGCGUGUGUGAAGAAGGCCUUCGGGUUGUAAAGCACUUUAAGCAGGGAGAAAAAGUUAUAAGUUAAUACCUUAUAACCCUGAUGUUACCUGCAGAAUAAGCACCGGCUAAUUCCGUGCCAGCAGCCGCGGUAAUACGGAAGGUGCAAGCGUUAAUCGGAAUUACUGGGCGUAAAGCGCGCGUAGGUGGUUUGUUAAGUUGGAUGUGAAAGCCCUGGGCUCAACCUAGGAACUGCAUCCAAAACUAACUCACUAGAGUACGAUAGAGGGAGGUAGAAUUCAUAGUGUAGCGGUGGAAUGCGUAGAUAUUAUGAAGAAUACCAGUGGCGAAGGCGGCCUCCUGGAUCUGUACUGACACUGAGGUGCGAAAGCGUGGGUAGCGAACAGGAUUAGAUACCCUGGUAGUCCACGCCGUAAACGAUGACAACUAGCUGUUGGAAGACAAAGUCUUUCAGUGGCGCAGCUAACGUUUUAAGUUGUCCGCCUGGGGAGUACGGCCGCAAGGCUAAAACUCAAAUGAAUUGACGGGACCCGCACAAGCGGUGGAGCAUGUGGUUUAAUUCGAUGC
rnacentral:rRNA from 1 species